rnacentral:rRNA from 1 species
CCGGCGGCGUCGGCGACACGACAACACUCGUUCUCGCUCCGCUUGUUGCGGCUCUUGACGUACCGGUUGCCAAAAUGUCCGGCCGCGGCCUCGGCCAUACGGGCGGCACGAUUGAUAAGUUAGAGGCAAUCGACGGCUUCCACGUGGAACUGACGAAGGAUGAAUUUAUUAAACUUGUGAACCGCGACAAGGUUGCGGUCAUCGGCCAAAGCGGCAAUUUAACGCCGGCUGAUAAAAAACUGUACGCGCUUCGUGAUGUAACGGGAACGGUCAAUUCCAUUCCGCUCAUUGCAAGCUCGAUUAUGAGCAAAAAAAUCGCUGCCGGGGCGGACGCCAUCGUGCUUGACGUAAAAACGGGAGCGGGUGCCUUCAUGAAAACAGAAGAAGACGCAGCUGAACUUGCCAAAGCGAUGGUACGCAUCGGAAAUAACGUCGGCCGUCAAACAAUGGCUGUCAUUUCAGACAUGUCCCAGCCACUCGGCUUUGCGAUCGGAAAUGCGCUUGAAGUCAAAGAAGCGAUCGACACGCUCAAAGGCGAGGGGCCUGAGGAUCUUCAUGAGCUUGUCUUAACGCUCGGCAGCCAGAUGGUUGUGCUUGCGAAAAAAGCCGAUACAUUGGACGAAGCGAGAGCGAAGCUGGAAGAAGUCAUGAAAAACGGCAAAGCACUUGAGAAAUUCAAGGAUUUCCUGAAAAACCAAGGCGGCGACAGCUCAAUUGUUGACGAUCCGUCUAAGCUUCCGCAAGCCGCAUAUCAAAUUGAUGUGCCUGCCAAAGAAGCGGGUGUCGUCUCUGAAAUCGUUGCGGACGAAAUCGGCGUCGCGGCGAUGCUGUUAGGUGCCGGUCGCGCCACAAAAGAAGAUGAGAUCGAUUUAGCCGUCGGCAUCAUGCUCCGCAAGAAGGUCGGCGACAAAGUAGAAAAAGGCGAACCGCUUGUGACGCUUUACGCCAACCGCGAAAACGUUGAUGAAGUCAUCGCAAAAGUCUAUGACAACAUCCGCAUCGCCGCGGAAGCGAAGGCGCCGAAGCUGAUUCAUACGUUGAUUACUGAAUAAAAAUAAAGCACAUCCCAUCCUGAGCGGGGUGUGCUUUUUUGAUUACAGGAUGUGAUCAGCCUGAUAUUCCUCUUGGCUGAUUUUUUUCGCUUUUGUAACAUUUCUUUUGAAAUGGUAGAUCAGAUAGCAAAGGAUGAUACAAGGAACUCCGCAGAAAAGUGCGAUUCUUUGAUUGGGAUCAAAAGCAAGACCGAUACAAGAAGCAGAACAUAAUAAGAGAGCGGCUAUAGGCAUAAGAGGAUAAAGCGGCGUGCGAAAUGUCAGAUCUUUUACAUUCCCCCCUUUUUUCAAAAAUCUCUUUCGAAACAAGAGUUGGGACAAGGCAAUGCUCAUCCAGACCACGACUCCUGCAAAUCCAGCAAUUGCGACCAUCACCACAUAGACAGUUCCAGGGGCCACGAUACUGGAAACGAGAGAUAAACAAGAUACAGCCAUACUGAUCAUUAAGGCAUUUAAAGGAAUGCCUUUAGAGGUCACUUUCUUAAAACGGGAACUGAUCAUGUUUUCAUUUGCUAACGACCACAUCAUACGGGUCGAAGCAUAUAAGCCUGAGUUGGCGACAGACAGCAAGGCUGUUAAUAUCACGAAAUUCAUAAUAUCAGCAGCGUAAGGGAUUCCGAUCUCCGCAAAUACGGCUACAAACGGGCUUUCAAUCACGCCUGCGUCCUUCCACGAAAUCAAUCCGGAUAAUAUGAAGACAGCGCCAAUGAAAAAAAUCACGGUUCUCCAUGCGACAUUACGGAUGGAUCGCGGUAUAUCCUUUUGAGGAUUUGCUGAUUCUCCUGCUGUAACGCCGAUUAACUCUGUACCGGAAAAGGCGAAGCUCACAGAUAUCAUCGCGAUAAAAACGGCAAGAAAGCCAUUCGGAAACAGCCCGCCAUGGUCCGUGAAGUUUGACAACAUAGGAGCAUCCGCCGUUCCGUUUAAAGAGAUCAGGCCAAACAUGGCGGCUCCUCCUAAAAUGAUAAAUAAAAUAAUGGUGACAAUCUUUACGCUGGAAAACCAAAAUUCAGUUUCCGCAAAUAACUUAACUGAAAAUGCGUUGCAUAUAAAAAGAAGGGCUGCAAAAAUCGCACUCCACAUCCAUACACUGCUGUCAGGGAACCAGCGCUGCAUGAGAAUACCGGAUGCGGUAAACUCAGAGCCUACCGUCACCACCCAAUUGAUCCAGUACAUGAUGCCGACCAUAAAACCGGUAGAUGGACCGAUAAAUGUUGUAGCAUAUUUUUGAAAAGAGCCGGUCACCGGCAUGGCAACCGACAAUUCGCCGAGACAUUGCAUGACGAGGUACAUCAUCAACCCGCCGAUUACAUAAGCGAGUAUCGUACCGCCGGGUCCGGCUUGAUGUAGCGUAUAGCCUGUACUGAGGAAAAGUCCUGUGCCUAUGACGCCUCCCAAUGAGAUCAUAAAUAGGUGCCUGCUUUUCAUUGUGCGUUUUAGCUGUUGGCUGCUGUUCUCCUGAAGAUUCACUAUCUCGCCCUCCUUUUAGCUGCCAUUCCUUAGGCAGAUGAGUUCUUAUACCCAAAAUACAACCUGCCAGAAGAUCACUUGAAUGGGGAGAGUUUCAUUCCUUUUAAUGCGUGUAACAGAACAUGAGCUGCAGCUCUGCUUGUCAUAUCUCGAAAAUCGAGGGUAGGGUCGACUUCAACAAUUUCAAUCCCGGCAAUAUUGGGCUGUUGUGCGAUGUACUUGACUGCUUCAAGCAAUUCGUCUGUAUAGAGGCCGCCCGGGCCAAUCGCUGGACAGCCGGGUGCAUGGGACUGGUCUAAGACAUCCAUGUCAACAGAUAUAAAAAUGAAAUCUGUUCUAUCUUGAACAACAGGCAAAAUCUCUUUUAUCGUUGGGAUUAGUCCUUUUUCGCGGAUCAUGUCCAU